rnacentral:rRNA from 1 species
UGGGGAAUAUUGCACAAUGGAGGGAACUCUGAUGCAGCGACGCCGCGUGAACGAAGAAGGCUUUCGAGUCGUAAAGUUCUUUUAUAUGGGAAGAUAAUGACGGUACCAUAAGAAAAAGCCCCGGCUAACUACGUGCCAGCAGCCGCGGUAAUACGUAGGGGGCUAGCGUUGUCCGGAAUCACUGGGCGUAAAGGGUUCGCAGGCGGAAAUGCAAGUCAGGUGUAAAAGGCAGUAGCUUAACUACUGUAAGCAUUGAAACUGCAUAUCUUGAGAAGAGUAGAGGUAAGUGGAAUUUUUAGUGUAGCGGUGAAAUGCGUAGAUAUUAAAAAGAAUACCGGUGGCGAAGGCGACUUACUGGGCUCAUUCUGACGCUGAGGAACGAAAGCGUGGGUAGCAAACAGG